AUUCAUCACGAGGUUAAGAAAAAAACGUAUAAGCAAGGAGCACAGAAUUUUUUUGAAAUCAAAUUUGAGUUAUGAGGUCUUCUACUUUGCUUGUAGUUUCUUGUGUGCUCAUGUUCUUCAUUAGUAAUCAUGCUAAAGUUGUGGCGGAAGAGCAUAAGCGUGAAAUUACUAAAUGGUUUGCUGGAGUUUGUGGUCCUAACGGAAGCAAGACUUGCGCAGACGCCAUGAAAGAGUCCCAAUACUAUCCUCGUUGCGAUUGUAGAGAUGACCAUUUUCCAACUGGACAUUACUGCAUGUGUUUUUAUAGUUAUUAUCCUUGAUAAGAUUUACUAAAUCUCUAUUACCAAAAGCAAUUAAUUAA